CCCUCAUGGCGUCCCCAGUAAGAAAAUGUAGCUCUGAUGGAGAGCAGAGAGCAUUUCUUGGCUGUGAGAUGGCUAACGUCCCGGUUGGCCAAAUUCCAAGCCAAAAUCACAUCAACUUUACCUGGGAAGGAACAGAAGCAGCAUCAGGGAAGAUUAUAUACUAGGGUACCGGGAAUAGAGAGCAGAGAGGGAAAACAACGGAUGACGCAAAGUAGCCGAGAUAGGCCCCUGAACUACUAAUAGUGAUAGUUGUAGAGAAUGUGAGGAAAGCAGAAAUCCAGCCAUUGUGUGGUGAGAGGAAAGCUAGAGAAAUGCUCUUCUGUUCCUAUUACUGUGACCCUGCUUUGGUAAAAACAAGCUGAUGUAGGCUGGGAAGCGAGUGAGUUAUGCUUGGAAAUGUGGAGCCACAACACUAUGAGUAAGCUUGUCGAAAAAAAUAAAAAACGAUCACCCAGUGAAAGUCUAUGGCUUUAACAUCUUGGCCUCACUCGCUUGCGUGUCACUCAGAUUCACAAGGAAAGUUUAGUUUUCUUCCUUUUUCUCUUCCUGGUCUGGUCUUCAUGGACUCCAGCUUUGCGUUCUAGCAGGAAUAAUUUGCACUUAAUUAAUAGUGUUUCAUUUUCCUCCAGCUCGAACAUAAUUCUUUCAGUUUAAACAUUUUAAACAGUGGUUCUUCAACUCAAACAUGCAGAAUCACCUAGAGGGCAUGUAAAAACACAGACUGAGAGGCUCACCCCCAGGGUUUCUGAUUCAGUACAUGGGGUGGAGACAGAAUUUGCAUUUCUAAGGAGUUUCUGGGUGAUGCUGAUAUGUUGGUCCAAGGAACACGCUUUGACGACCUCUGAUUCAAGCUAGUCAGCAUUUUAUUCCCAUCCAAAGGGGAUGGUUUCAAAAGUCCUUUAGAUCAAUGCUUUCAACUUGAGAAUCAAAAACAUGGUCUUCCUGCAUAUGACUUGUGCCACAAGCAGCUCGUCAUGCCAGUUCAACACACCGGAACUGGUCUAUAUCUUGUUCAACAAGAUGAGUCCACUGAUCACAUGCUAGGAUGUCAUGGCAGUGUCAAUUUAUGAUAAAAAUUUCUAAAUACGAACACACACCUCUGUUUAUCUCACCUCAGACCAGUAAUAGUUUCUGGACUGGCGCUGGUCCAGGGACCGCAUUUUGAGUAACUGUUUUAGAUGACUCAGUCUUUCUCAGAUUCUCCACCUCCCUCUUCCUUCUCUUUCCCAAGAUAGUAUCUAGGUAUAAGAGGGGGGUCUGAUUGUAUUCUUGUGGCACCCUUGGAUCUUGCACUGCUUCUGGAUACUCAGUGAUCUCCUCUGUAAGAAGGGCUGGAUUCAGCUUCUUCCUAGAAUUGGGACCACUGAAAUGUGACUAGGGCCCAUCUGAUCUUUUGGGAUGACGUGUGCCAGCCCUCACUACUGCUGCCAUAGCCCUGAACAUUUCCCCUAGCAUCACAGUUCCAUCCCCCAUGGCCUCUUUCCCUGCUCUCAGACCUCUGCUAGUCCAUCAGCAGUCUUACUGGGGAAGUGAGAAACUCCGGAGACUCCUGCUUCCCACACAAAGGCCACGAGGAGACAGAAAUGCUUUCAAGGUCCUAUGCAUCUACCCACCUUCUGCUGCUGCCCCUAUACCAUUGCUUCUCAGCCACAUGGAAUGCGGUGCUGAGCCAAACGAACUGUCGAAAUCAUGAAAGACAAGGAAAGACCAAGAAAUGAUCAUAGCUUGGAGGAGAUAUGAUAUCAUGGCUUAGACCCUGGAAAAGAAAGGAAAUUAAUAAAAAGCUGUGGAAAUCCAAGUAAAGUCUGAGUAUUGAACCAAUAUUAAUUUCUUAAUUUUGAUCACUGUAUCAUGUUUAUGUAAAAUGUUAAAAUUGUGUGAAGCUGGGUGGAGGGUACAUGAGAACUCUCUGUACUGUAUUUGCAACUCUUCUGUAAGUAUACAAUUUUUCCAAAUAAAACUAAUGAAGGGAAGAAUUCACGGCUUAGGUAAUAGGUGCAUAGGUAUCUUUUCUAUUCUAUGGAAAGAACUGUGUUCUUCAUGAUAUGAUGAAAGGGGGAAUGAUAGGGAUGGUAGAAAAUGUUUUCCUCUUGACAAAGUUUGGCUUUCAAGUCUUUUAUCUUUUACAGAAUAAAAAAUUUUAUUCUGGAUGUUAUAGGCUGAACAUUAACUCUCUCCCUUUUUCUUUACAAUUUUGCUGUAACAAAACUAAUCCCCCCAACCUGAAAGUGGAUAUCUUCAGACAACGAAGGAGGUCAUAUACAUAGAAAGUAGAUUCAUAUAAAUUUAAAAUAUUACCUUUGUUUCACGUCUAUCUGAAAAUGGGCCAUGGCUUACAUGCUACAUCUCUUUCUAAAUGGAAGAAUAGCCAGGCAGAAAAAUCCCUGAAGAAGGAAGAGUCAAUGUGCUCUAGGGCAGUGCUCCUCAAACUUUAAUUAGAGUUUGCAUCACUUGGGGAUCUUGUUACAGAGCAGAGUCCCAUUCAGUAGGUUUAGGUUGGGGACCUAUAUUCUCAUUUUCUGACAAGUUCCCAGGUGAUGCCCUGCUGCUGGUCUCUGAGUAGGAAGAGUCAGGGCCCUGUCUGAGGUAUUUCCUCCUUGCUCGGCCCAGUAACCAUAAGGAAAGUGCUUACUGGUCAGAGGUUUAAAGAAACAUAAGAAAUGCACAGUCCUUCUGUAAGACCAGAAAUAAAAUAAACAAGUUAAACAAAGAAGAAAUACAUUCAUCAAAAUAUGGCAUUAUUUCACACAUUAAGAUGGCAUGAGGGGCCGGCUCCGUGGCGGAGUGGUUAAGUUCGUGCGCUCCGCUGCGGCACUCCAGGGUUCGGAUCCUGGGCGCGGA
rnacentral:lncRNA from 1 species